rnacentral:rRNA from 1 species
GAUGAACGCUGGCGGCGUGCUUAACACAUGCAAGUCGAACGGUGAAAGAGGAGCUUGCUCCUCUGGAUCAGUGGCGAACGGGUGAGUAACACGUGAGUAACCUGCCCCAGACUCUGGGAUAAGCACUGGAAACGGUGUCUAAUACCGGAUACGAGCUUCAGCCGCAUGGCUAGGAGCUGGAAAGAAUUUCGGUCUGGGAUGGACUCGCGGCCUAUCAGCAGUUGGUGAGGUAACGGCCCACCAAGGCGACGACGGGUAGCCGGCCUGAGAGGGUGACCGGCCACACUGGGACUGAGACACGGCCCAGACUCCUACGGGAGGCAGCAGUGGGGAAUAUUGCACAAUGGGCGGAAGCCUGACGCAGCGACGCCGCGUGGGGGAUGACGGCCU